rnacentral:rRNA from 1 species
GUGGGGAAUAUUGGACAAUGGGCGAAAGCCUGAUCCAGCCAUGCCGCGUGUGUGAAGAAGGUCUUCGGAUUGUAAAGCACUUUAAGUUGGGAGGAAGGGCAGUAAGUUAAUACCUUGCUGUUUUGACGUUACCGACAGAAUAAGCACCGGCUAACUUCGUGCCAGCAGCCGCGGUAAUACGAAGGGUGCAAGCGUUAAUCGGAAUUACUGGGCGUAAAGCGCGCGUAGGUGGUUUUGUAAGUUGGAGGUGAAAUCCCCGGGCUCAACCUGGGAACUCACUCCAAAACUUCAUGACUAGAGUACGGUAGAGGGGAGUGGAAUUUCCUGUGUAGCGGUGAAAUGCGUAGAUAUAGGAAGGAACACCAGUGGCGAAGGCGACUACCUGGACUGAUACUGACACUGAGGUGCGAAAGCGUGGGGAGCAAACAGGAUUAGAUACCCUAGUAGUCC